GAUGAACGCUGGCGGCGUGCCUAAUACAUGCAAGUCGAGCGAACGGACGAGAAGCUUGCUUCUCUGAUGUUAGCGGCGGACGGGUGAGUAACACGUGGAUAACCUACCUAUAAGACUGGGAUAACUUCGGGAAACCGGAGCUAAUACCGGAUAAUAUUUUGAACCGCAUGGUUCAAAAGUAAAAGACGGUCUUGCUGUCACUUAUAGAUGGAUCCGCGCUGCAUUAGCUAGUUGGUAAGGUAACGGCUUACCAAGGCAACGAUGCAUAGCCGACCUGAGAGGGUGAUCGGCCACACUGGAACUGAGGCACGGUCCAGACUCCUACGGGAGGCAGCAGUAGGGAAUCUUCCGCAAUGGGCGAAAGCCUGACGGAGCAACGCCGCGUGAGUGAUGAAGGUCUUCGGAUCGUAAAACUCUGUUAUUAGGGAAGAACAUAUGUGUAAGUAACUGUGCACAUCUUGACGGUACCUAAUCAGAAAGCCACGGCUAACUACGUG
rnacentral:rRNA from 1 species